GGCGAGAUGGCCGAGCGGUCUAAGGCGCCAGACUAAGGACCAAAGCAGUCUCUGCUUAAGAUAUCUGGUCCUCCGGGGCGUGGGUUCGAAUCCCACUCUCGUCA